UACGUAGGGUGCGAGCGUUGUCCGGAAUUAUUGGGCGUAAAGAGCUCGUAGGCGGCCUGUCGCGUCGGUUGUGAAAGCCCGGGGCUUAACCCCGGGUCUGCAGUCGAUACGGGCAGGCUAGAGUUCGGUAGGGGAGAUCGGAAUUCCCGGUGUAGCGGUGAAAUGCGCAGAUAUCAGGAGGAACACCGGUGGCGAAGGCGGCAUUCUGGACCGACAUUGACGCUGAGGAGCGAAAGCCAGGGGAGCAAACGGG
rnacentral:rRNA from 1 species